CACCAGCCCAGGAAGAGGUUGGCGUAUGAGGUUUCCGGUUUGGUAUUAACUGCAUGGACGUCACUUCCGGCGUGCGGUCCAUGCUGACACGCACGCCGCGAUACUAGCAACACAUGGCCGGAUCUGACUACACCUGUGGGUGUCGCUAGUCGCGAUUGGGCGCAUGGGGUAUUUAAAGGGAGGGGGGAAACUCAGGAUGACUACAUCAGACCUAUUUCCCUUCACUGCUAACGACACCAUGUGUCUCUUUGUUGGCUAGCCCUGCAUCUUGGGGGACAUAAAUCGGGGCACCUCUAUCCUUGUUUGGUGCUUUUCAGUCAGGAAGACCCAUGUACCUAUCCAUGAACCUCCCGACCAACGAUCUGUACGUGAUCCGUUGUUAUUGCCAACAUCAGUGUGUAUCUAGGCAGUUGAGUUCAUCGAUCAUGCUGUAAAGUAACCGUAUGUAAAUUGCCUCCGGGCGAUCAUUUAUCUACUCUGGGUCUGAUGUCAUGUCGUAAAGGAUUAUUUAUUCCUAUAUCUAUUUACGCACGUAUCAUUGGACUGGGACGGCCAUAAUCCUUGGCAAAGGUCCCAGGACCUAUUAUACCUACCACAUAUAACCCCCUGAUGAACCCAUUGGUAUGGGUGAAACGCGUCGGGGCUGUAGGCUAUCCAUUUCAAUAUAUCUGUCUUUAAUUGUGCGUGUGUUUGUUUGUAUUAUUAAUUUUAUCCUCUUGGUGUGCCCUGUACCUCUUGGUUACGCCACGAGGGCGGUAUACAGUGGACACCUCUUUAACUAAUUCUUUCAUUGUUAUGUGCUAGUUAUCCGUUAGGAUACCACGUAUUACCCUUCCUUUUCCACCUGCCACCUCAGCAGGGACAUUUAGGAAUUUG